GCCGCCAUGGUCCGCGUCCCCCUCGGUGGUCCGCGUCCCCCUCCUCCUCCUCCCUCCGCCGCGGCAGCGAGCUCACCUCGCCGACAUGGGUGUGUUGGUGUCGGUCGUGCUCGGUGCUCGGUGCUCGGUGCUGAACGGAAAACGCUCGUGGCCCGCAAUGGAGACAGCCUGACUGCGCAGGCGGCCCGGCAGAUGCACUGGAGAUAAGUUUGUGUGCGUAAGCUGGGCCGCGACCCUACGCGGCAGGACAUUGACCAGAUCCUGUCAGUGAGAGGGCAAGAGCCGGCCCAGCACCUCCUCUGCUCAUUUGCUUACAUGCUGCCCGCCCCCCUCCCCAUCCUACUGUCUCCAUGCGUGGCUUCCCCAGCAGCUCAGCAGGGGCCAGAGGUGAGGACAGGCCCCCUGGAGCCAAGACUUUCCUCUGGGAUGCAAGGCUCCAGCCCUCCUCGACACCCCCUGUAUGCGCCAUAGAGACAAGCGACUCCUCCGCGCAGAGCAAUAAGAAGCUGAACCCAGCCUCUCAGUGCUGGGAGGUUAAACCUAGUUUGUCAUCAGAUUCCAGUGGGAGGGAUGAAGACUUUGCGCAAAGAGCAACCGGGCCUGUGCACAGGCAACAUCUGACUCCUUCUGACACCUCUUCUUGGAAAUCUCAUCAGAAAUUCCCUUUGAAACCAGAGGCUUCAUGUCUUCCGAUACACUUACUCCUCUUCUUGUUGCUUGGUUUACAGAAAAAUAAAUA